GGCUGUCGUCAGCUCGUGUUGUGAAAUGUUGGGUUAAGUCCCGCAACGAGCGCAACCCUUAUCCUUUGUUGCCAGCGAUUCGGUCGGGAACUCAAAGGAGACUGCCAGUGAUAAACUGGAGGAAGGUGGGGAUGACGUCAAGUCAUCAUGGCCCUUACGAGUAGGGCUACACACGUGCUACAAUGGCAUAUACAAAGAGAAGCGACCUCGCGAGAGCAAGCGGACCUCAUAAAGUAUGUCGUAGUCCGGAUUGGAGUCUGCAACUCGACUCCAUGAAGUCGGAAUCGCUAGUAAUCGUAGAUCAGAAUGCUACGGUGAAUACGUUCCCGGGCCUUGUACACACCGCCCGUCACACCAUGGGAGUGGGUUGCAAAAGAAGUAGGUAGCUUAACCUUCGGGAGGGCGCUUACCACUUUGUGAUUCAUGACUGGGGUGAAGUCGUAACAAGGUAACCGUAGGGGAACCUGCGGUUGGAUCACCUCCUUA
rnacentral:rRNA from 1 species